rnacentral:rRNA from 1 species
GUAUGGUGGCGGACGGGUGAGUAACACGUGAAGAACCUGCCCUUUAGACUGGGACAACUAGCUGAAAAGUUAGCUAAAACCGGAUAAGCCGACGAAUAGGCAUCUAUAUGUCGGAAAACACUAUAAGUGCUAAAGGAGGGCUUCGCGGUCUAUUAGUUAGUUGGUGGGGUAACGGCCUACCAAGGCAGCGAUAGAUAGCCGGCCUGAGAGGGUGAACGGCCACAAGGGAACUGAGACACGGUCCUUACUCC